UCAGUUUUUAGAUUUGUUCAUCAUUUAAAUUUUGCCGAAUUCUUCAUACGUUUUUCAUUCAUCUACUGUACAUAAAUCCUGGGUUUCAUUAAGGAAUCUAGAAGAGUAUAGAUGAAAGUUUCACUGAGCUGCAUGUCAAAUUGCUUAUUGAUUUCAUAAAUAUUCUUCUAUAUUUUCAAUCUUAGAUAGGGUCUUCAUCAGUUUUUAAGUUCUUCUGUCAAUUUUUGUUUAAUCUUCAUCUAUUUCUGUUAAAUUUUUGCUUAAUCUUCAUAAAAAAAAUUGUGUUUUUCACUUCUUCUGAUCGACUAUUCUACCCUGCAGAUCAAAUCUCUGAUUGAAUCUUCAUGAUCUACUCUAAUGGGUUUUCCAAUGUCGGUUGUUAAUAAAAUGUGGUCUCAGAGAUGAAAAUAUUCUUGUCUUCAUGUACGAUGACAUUGCUUACAAUGAAGAGAGCCCAAGACCGGGAGCUAUCAUUAAUAGUCCUGCUGGAGGAUGUUUACAAAGGACUUGCUAAGGUACCGAAAAGAUGGGAGUGGUGGUCCAAUUGAUCAUAUUUGCAUAUUCUAUAGUGAUCAUGGUGGCUCUGGGUUGCUUGUAAUAGGUAAUAUGUCUAGGUCAGCCAUUGCGUCACAAAAAUGGUGUUUUUAAUGGGCGAGAAGAUUUUGUCUUCCACAGAGACAUUACAGUGUAGAGACAAUAAGAAACUGUUAACUUUUCUAUGAUACCUACAAUUAGAAGAAGCUAGACAAAUGAGGCUUCGAGUACAUUGAUACAGGAUCAUAGUUUUUGACUAUAAGCCAGAGAGGAAAUAGUUGGAAGAAAGAGCAACAAAAGCCAAUGCAAAAACAAGAGUCAUUUAGAAGCUCCCGCUUUGGGAAUGGAGGUACUUCUAUUUUGAAGAGCUUCUUGGACUUUUAGUUAUUUUGAAUUUUUCAAAAUAUUACUACACUUCUGUGAAUAAGCCUUAAGUUCAGGUGUUUAUUGUAGUAUGAAUGAAAACUUGAAGCAGUAAUUUGGAUUUUCAUCUGACAAUGAAUAUGUGAACUCCCCUUAUGAGGACGUCCCUUUGUAAUUUGGGCUAAGCAAAUACCAAAUCCAACUACUAUUGAAAUGUCUGAGCCAUUCCAGAAAAUGAAUGUCAGCUUAUAACUGUUGAGUAUGCCUUCAAUAAUGUCUCUGUUUUGCAACUAUGGAGUUUAUAAUAAAGCUUAUAGCAGUUUUAGAUUUGUUGCUCGCUUUUUUUUUUUGCAAGUGCUCGUAUAUCUGUUAAGAGCAUAGUCAAUUGAGCAUAAGAGAAAUUCUAAUGAUGUAUGUAUUGUAGCAUUUGCAUUUCUGGAACUUUUAUGUAUUUAUAAAAAUAGUUUAGCAAUAUAGUAUCCCGUUGUUUUUAUUGUAUAGCAACAAUAUUUGUUCAUCAUUAAUCAAACUACAAUAGAAAGAAGUCAUAAUUGCUCUUUCAAAAUCA